rnacentral:rRNA from 1 species
CCGUAGCAAUACGGGAGCGGCAGACGGGUGAGUAACACGUGGGAACGUACCUUUCGGUUCGGGACAACCCAGGGAAACUUGGGCUAAUACCGGAUACGCCCUUCGGGGGAAAGAUUUAUCGCCGAAAGAUCGGCCCGCGUCCGAUUAGCUAGUUGGUGAGGUAACGGCUCACCAAGGCGACGAUCGGUAGCUGGUCUGAGAGGAUGAUCAGCCACAUUGGGACUGAGACACGGCCCAAACUCCUACGGGAGGCAGCAGUGGGGAAUAUUGGACAAUGGGCGCAAGCCUGAUCCAGCCAUGCCGCGUGAGUGAUGAAGGCCCUAGGGUUGUAAAGCUCUUUCGGCGGGGAAGAUAAUGACGGUACCCGCAGAAGAAGCCCCGGCUAACUUCGUGCCAGCAGCCGCGGUAAUACGAAGGGGGCUAGCGUUGCUCGGAAUCACUGGGCGUAAAGCGUGCGCAGGCGGCCCGUUAAGUCCUUUGUGAAAUCCCGGGGCUCAACUCCGGAAUCGCAGCGGAUACUGGCGGGCUAGAGAACGGUAGAGGCCAGCGGAAUUCCCGGUGUAGCGGUGGAAUGCGUAGAUAUCGGGAAGAACACCAGUGGCGAAGGCGGCUGGCUGGGCCGUUUCUGACGCUCAUGCACGAAAGCGUGGGGAGCAAACAGGAUUAGAUACCCUGGUAGUCCACGCCGUAAACGUUGGGCACUAGAUGCCGGGUGUAUAGACAC